ACGUAGGGUGCAAGCGUUAAUCGGAAUUACUGGGCGUAAUGCGUGCGCAGGCGGUUAUGCAAGACAGAGGUGAAAUCCCCGGGCUCAACCUGGGAACUGCCUUUGUGACUGCAUAGCUAGAGUACGGUAGAGGGGGAUGGAAUUCCGCGUGUAGCAGUGAAAUGCGUAGAUAUGCGGAGGAACACCGAUGGCGAAGGCAAUCCCCUGGACCUGUACUGACGCUCAUGCACGAAAGCGUGGGGAGCAAACAG
rnacentral:rRNA from 1 species